rfam:Chelonia mydas contig135470, whole genome shotgun sequence.
AUACCUGCCUUCCAUCACAAAUCAUAUAAAUCUUUCAUCUUUUACUAAAGAUUUCCAUAGAGAGGAACAUUUAUGAGUUUCUACCCAAUUUUUUGAGGCUUCACCACUCUCCUCUAGCC